rnacentral:rRNA from 1 species
CCAUGCAGAGCUGUCCCACCCUGAAAGCACUAGUCUGAUCUUAGAAGCUAAGCAGAGUUAGGCCCCAGCUGGUCCUUGAAUGAGAGACCACCUGGGAAUUCUGGAGGCUGUAGGGU